AAUUUUUAAGUUAACACACAAUCUUAAGUUUCUGAGGCCUGGAGUCUCCACAGCAUUUCAGAAAUGGAUGUAUUGAAUGAAGUCAGCCCAGCUCAUGACCACCAGAAAAAUAGGAUUCCCACUCGAAACAGAAAGUGACCUUUAAGCUCUUUUGUUGUUAUUUUUCAAAAUAUGUUUGAAAUCAAGAAACAAAUUUUCUUAACACAAAAAAGCAUGUUUUUUCCACCAAGUCAAAAAUAGGAUUUUAAAGGAAAUGGAAUUCUUGACUGUUAAAUACACACAUGGAAAAUUUGGAGUUAUACUUUUGAAUUUAAGAAGUUAAGAGAAAUGUCGGCAUGUCCUUCAGGAAGUCUUGAGCUCUGAGAGCAAAUGGAAAAACUUAAGCAACGUUUAUGAUGAAGCUUUUUUCCUGAGGCCUGGACCUUCCGCUAGUAGCUUCUCACCUAGGUGCCAUAAUGAAAUUUACUGGGAAAGUCACCAACGGUAGUUUCCUGGCAGAACCGGCACAGCUGUGUGGCUGUUCCUUUGAAAAUUGCUAGACCAAAUGUGCACGGAGAAUAAUGAACCGCAGGAUGAGCUGAGUGUGAUUUGUGGAGAAGGUGCAGUUAAGGAAGCUGUGAUCUGAGCAGAGACGAGAAAUGCUCCAAUUCCAUGAUCCCCAGAGUCCUUGAGACCCUUUCAGGAGAUGCACGGGGUCAGAACUCUCCUAAGACUAAGAUAGUGUUUUGGUCUGAUUCUCUCACGAGUAUACAACUGCGUUUUCCAGAGGCCGGGUGACGUGGUAGCACAGCAGACUGAAUGCAGGAGCAGAUAUGAAAAUCUGACUCUUCCAUUUAGCCAGCCAUUAAAGAGAUUUGCCAAAAUAAAAACCAAGGAAGAAAGGGAGGAAGGAGAAAAAAGAUGCCCCAACGAAUAGUGCCUGUCCUGGGGCAGAACUGGGCCAAUGCACAGCUGACUCUCAGACCCCACCACCUUUCCUCAAGACCACGCACUGAAUUCUCAACAAACGUGUCUCAUUUUGGAAACAAUUUACUCUGCCACGCAAAUGAAAGGGACUUAGUGGAAUGGCAUCCGAAGGAUGAGUUGGGGCUCUCCAGGGAGAGAAAUGGAGCGAGAACAAAUGCUUAGAGGUGGGAUCAUACCUCCUGUUCUCAGAGAACUCCAGUAGCCUGACGGUGCAAGAACGAAGGGCACACACUGAGCAGUGAGGAGAAGAAGUUGGACCAUUAGGGUGGGGCCCAAGAGGGAUCUUGAGACUUAUACUAACAGUCGUUUGCCUUUAUCUCAGGGCAGCAGUGAGCCUUUCAGUGACUCUGAGCACAGUGUUGAGGUAUGUGAUCUGAGCUGAGAAAGAUGGCGGAGGGGAGAUGGGCUGGAGAGGACAAAUCAGGAGCAGGGUCUGGGGGGGCCGAGUGUCAGGAGGUCCUGCUCUUCCAGAACUUCCCCCAGCCAAUGAGACCUGAAGCUCCUGGUUUAUCCCAGCCAACUGCAAACAUUUUACACUGUAUGCCAUUUUGAGAAACAUUAAGAUCUCACACCCUUUGAACAUCCCAGAAAUUUCAAUAUAAAUUCCCUUUGAUGAAAACCAAAUCAAAGCAAUUCCUAAUGAAGAAUAUCUCUUCAACUCUACCCUUUCCAGUCUCUGAUAGACUGUCCUUCCUGCCUCCUUACUCCUACUACCUAGUCAACUGGGAAUCAUUAUGCUACAGCAAACCUAAGAGGAAAUGCCACUUAAAAGGUCACCUGGGCCAUGAGGGUCACUUUAGACACGUCUUGUUUGGACUAGAGCCUCCCUGGGCUCUCAGAACUGUCGCAGGCCCUGGCAAGCCCCCAUGCUAGCAAUGACUUCCAUUCGUUCUGGAUAUAAGGGCUGUCAGCUUAGGGAACGUACAUACCUGACCAGCUGGGUUCUAUCUGCUUUGAAGCUGCCCCUGCCUCUCUCCUCUCCAUUGUUUCCCUAGUGUACCUGUCCAUGAGAAUCACCUGGGGGGCGUGUGAAUCACGGAGAGCCCCGGGCAUCACUCUGGAGCUGCUGAAUCAGGAAUCAGAGCCAGCACCUGGAAGCUGUCUGCUUAGCUCGUGCUCCAGGUGAUUCUUAGGACCAGGCACGUUUGGGAAAGGCUGUGAAGACUGCCUGUUCUGCUGGCAACUGUGGCUGCCACCCUGAGAGGAAGAAGAGAGUCAUAGCCCAGCAGAUGCCCGAGCCUCUCUCCGGGAUGGUAACCGGCUGCGUGUCCCUGAGACGGGACAAGUGGGCCCACGCAGGCUUCCGCAGCACUGAACCAGACCCAGGCCUAAAGGGCGCUCAUCCCUGGCAGCUUCCUGCUGCCCGUCUUUCCCUCCCCCCACCCCACCACCCCUGGAUAGGCAGCCAGCAGCUCAGCAACAGGGGCCUGUGGGGUUCUCAUCUCCAUCCAGCUGACACCUGAAAGCCGGGAUCCACGGAGCCAGGAGAAGAACA